rnacentral:rRNA from 1 species
AUUGAACGCUGGCGGCAGGCCUAACACAUGCAAGUCGAGCGGAUGAGUGGAGCUUGCUCCAUGAUUCAGCGGCGGACGGGUGAGUAAUGCCUAGGAAUCUGCCUGGUAGUGGGGGACAACGUUUCGAAAGGAACGCUAAUACCGCAUACGUCCUACGGGAGAAAGCAGGGGACCUUCGGGCCUUGCGCUAUCAGAUGAGCCUAGGUCGGAUUAGCUAGUAGGUGAGGUAAUGGCUCACCUAGGCGACGAUCCGUAACUGGUCUGAGAGGAUGGUAAGUCAAACUUGAACUGGAACACGGUCCAGACUCCUACGGGAGGCAGCAGUGGGGAAUAUUGGACAAUGGACGAAAGCCUGAUCCAGCCAUGCCGCGUGUGUGAAGAAGGUCUUCGGAUUGUAAAGCACUUUAAGUUGGGAGGAAGGGCAGUAAGUUAAUACCUUGCUGUUUUGACGUUACCAACAGAAUAAGCACCGGCUAACUUCGUGCCAGCCGCCGCAGUAAUAC